UACGUAGGGUGCGAGCGUUGUCCGGAAUUAUUGGGCGUAAAGAGCUCGUAGGCGGUUUGUCGCGUCUGCUGUGAAAAUCCAGGGCUUAACCCUGGACCUGCAGUGGGUACGGGCAGACUGGAGUGCGGUAGGGGAGAUCGGAAUUCCUGGCGUAGCGGUGAAAUGCGCAGAUAUCAGGAGGAACACCGGUGGCGAAGGCGGAUCUCUGGGCCGUAACUGACGCUGAGGAGCGAAAGCAUGGGGAGCGAACAGG
rnacentral:rRNA from 1 species